rnacentral:rRNA from 1 species
UACGUAGGGUGCAAGCGUUGUCCGGAAUUAUUGGGCGUAAAGAGCUCGUAGGCGGUUUGUCGCGUCUGCUGUGAAAACUGGGGGCUCAACCCUCAGCCUGCAGUGGGUACGGGCAGACUAGAGUGCGGUAGGGGAGAUUGGAAUUCCUGGUGUAGCGGUGGAAUGCGCAGAUAUCAGGAGGAACACCGAUGGCGAAGGCAGAUCUCUGGGCCGUAACUGACGCUGAGGAGCGAAAGCAUGGGGAGCGAACAGG